UUGAUGACUAAACCAUUGAACAUGGUAUUCCAAGGCAACAGGAUACAAAUAUGGUGGUGCAUCCCUUGGAAUUGACCUUAUAGACGGCAUUCUUAGCUACCAUGUGGAGCUGGGAAUAGAACCCUGGUCCUCUGGAAGAACAGCCAUCUCUCCAGCCUCCACUUAUUGCUUCUUAAUGUUCUUCUGAAUUUUAUUUAUUUUCUACAAUAUGUGGAUAUUGGACUUACAGUCAGAAAAAUACAAUGAGUAUGGAUGUUUGUCUUUGUGGUACUAAAGACUGAAUCCAGGACAGUACAAACUAAACACUCUCUGUACUGCUAAACUAUACCACUUGUCCCAUAAUGUAUUCUACAAAAAGAAAACAUAGAAAUCACUGAUGAUCAACAUCUCUCGGAUUUGGCAUCACUACAAUUGAACUGCUUUUAAUUUACUGGUAUCUCUGGAAAAGUCACCUCCCAUAUUUCUCCAAAUAAAGACCAUAUAUAUAUUUAAAGACAAGGUUAUCACCAAGUAGAUCAGGCUGGGUUCAAAGUCACAGAGAUCUUCCAGCCUCCUGAGUGCUGGGAUCUAAAGCAUGUACCACCACACUUGGAUAGGUCUGAUCAAGGUUAUAUAGAUAAA
rnacentral:lncRNA from 1 species